rnacentral:tRNA from 2 species
GGUGGCCUGCCCGAGCGGCCGAAGGGACACGCCUGGAAAGCGUGUAGGGGGGUUGACUCCCUCGAGGGUUCGAAUCCCUCGGCCACCG